rnacentral:rRNA from 1 species
AUGAACGCUGACAGAAUGCUUAACACAUGCAAGUCCACUUGAAUUUGGGUUUUUAACUUAGGUUUGGGUGGCGGACGGGUGAGUAACGCGUAAAGAACUUGCCUCACAGCUAGGGACAACAUUUGGAAACGAAUGCUAAUACCUAAUAUUAUGAUAAUAGGGCAUCCUAUAAUUAUGAAAGCUAUAAGCGCUGUGAGAGAGCUUUGCGUCCCAUUAGCUAGUUGGAGAGGUAACGGCUCACCAAGGCGAUGAUGGGUAGCCGGCCUGAGAGGGUGAUCGGCCACAAGGGGACUGAGACACGGCCCUUACUCCUACGGGAGGCAGCAGUGGGGAAUAUUGGACAAUGGACCGAGAGUCUGAUCCAGCAAUUCUGUGUGCACGAUGAAGUUUUUCGGAAUGUAAAGUGCUUUCAGUUGGGAAGAAACAAAUGACGGUACCAACAGAAGAAGUGACGGCUAAAUACGUG